UACAGAGGUCUCGAGCGUUGUUCGGAUUCAUUGGGCGUAAAGGGUGCGUAGGUGGCUUGGUAAGUCGGAUGUGAAAUCCCGGGGCUCAACCCCGGAACUGCAUUCGAUACUGCUUUAGCUUGAGUCCUGGAGAGGAGAUCGGAAUUUACGGUGUAGCAGUGAAAUGCGUAGAUAUCGUAAGGAAGACCGGUGGCGAAGGCGGAUCUCUGGACAGGAACUGACACUGAGGCACGAAGGCCAGGGGAGCAAACAGG
rnacentral:rRNA from 1 species